rnacentral:tRNA from 1 species
UUCCAGGUGGUCGGAUGGUUAGGAUUCAGUGCUUGCACCGCUGUGGCCCCGGGUUCAAUCCCUGGUCUGGGAA